AUCAGCAUACACAAAGCGAACUGUGUUAUCAGACAUUGCUCGUCUUUUUGACCCAGCUGGUUGGUUAGCGCCAAUUGUUAUAUCUGCCAAGAUUAUUAUGCAGCAAAUUUGGCAAGAUAAUACAGCUUGGGAUGAAUGUCUUAACCCACUCACCCUUAUAAAAUGGCAAAAGUUUUUGCAGUUCUACGAUAAUAUUAAUAGAAUUCGUAUUCCAAGAUGGAUUAACUUUUCACCUUCAGCAAAAAUUGAGUUUCAUGGGUUUUCAGAUGCUUCUGAAAAAGCAUACUCUGCAUGUCUGUAUGCACGAGUAACACCCAUAAACGGACCUAAUUCCGUAACCCUACUCUUUGCUAAGACGAGAGUUGCGCCAAUCAAAGUAAUCUCGUUACCAAAACUUGAACUUUGUGGUGCAGUGUUGUUGGCAAAUAUGACACAUAAUUUACUCACCCAACUCAACCUACCCUUACAUCAGACGUAUUUCUGGACCGACUCAUCUAUAGUUUUGGCCUGGCUUAGUAAACACCCCAACUCAUGGAACACAUUUGUAGCAAACCGAGUUUCUACAAUAAUCCAGACUGUCGGUGUUGAAAAUUGGAAUCAUGUUGCUUCGCACGAUAAUCCUGCCGAUGUUGCUAGCCGAGGAUGUAAUGCUGAUGAGUUAAAAGAUGACACUUUAUGGUGGAAUGGACCAUCGUGGUUGAAAGAAGUCGCGUCGAAGUGGCCAACAACAAAUAAACACUUCAUUACUCAAGCUGAAGCUAAAGUUAGUCAGUCGUUUGCUACGACAGUUAAUACCCACCCUACCUUAGAUAAGAAUACUGAAAACCCAGAUAUAUUAUCAAGAUUUUCGAAAUUGUCAAAAGCUCUAAGAGUAAUGACAUAUGUCUAUCGAUUUUGUGAUCGCGCAUCAUAUACCCGAAGAAAUACAAUUCGAAAUGAUAGAGUUAUUCUUGAUCGAAAUAACCCACAACUAGUCAAUGAUAGACUACGUUUAUUAACUACCCACCCAAGCAUUGAACUUGAUGCGUCAGAGAUCAAAUCUACCCGUGAUAGACUUAUUAUUCUUUGUCAGACAGAAUAUUUCAACAACGAAUAUAACUGUUUGAAGAGAAAAUACCCUAUACCCAACAAAAGUGACCUGCUUACCCUAACUCCAUUUUUAGAUUCUGCAAUGAUAAUGCGUGCAAAUGGUAGACUAGCAAAUUCCAACAGUUUGUCCUAUUCCGAAAGACACCCAAUAUUAAUACCCUAUAAUAGUGCAUUUGCUAAAUUACUAGUACAACACGUCCACCUGGUAACCCUGCAUGGUAGAAAUCAACUUAUGUUGAGAAUAAUCCGAUCAGGAUAUUGGAUUCCGAAACUUAAGAAUCUGAUUAGUAAUGUUGUUAACAAAUGCUCACCCUGCAUAAGAUAUAGGAAUAGACAAACAACCCAAUUUAUGGCGGCGUUGCCACCAGAAAGAACCCAAAUUGAUAAAGCUUUUACAAAUGUUGGAGUUGAUUUUGCAGGACCAUUUGACGUCAAAGCAUAUAGUGGCAGAACUUGUAAAAUAACGAAAGGUUACGUUUGUGUUUUUGUUUGCUUUGCAACAAAAGCCAUCCACUUGGAGCCAACAUCUGAUUUGUCUACCCAAGCCUUUAUGGCAGCCUUCGCUCGAUUUUUUUCGAGGCGGGGAUGCCCUGUCGCCAUUUACUCGGACAAUGGAACAAAUUUCAUAGGUGCUAGCAAGUUAUUGAAAAAGGAGCGACAGGAAUUUAUUAAACAGCUAAAAGGAUCUGUUACGUCCACUAGCAGUUUUCAGAAUUUGACGUGGCAUUUUAUACCCCCAGGUGCACCACACAUGGGCGGUUUAUGGGAGGCAGGAGUUAAAAGCUUUAAAGCUCAUUUGAAGAAAAUAAAUACCCUAAAAUAUACAUUUGAAGAGCUAGCUACACUCCUUGCCAGAAUAGAAGGAUGCCUAAACUCGAGACCCUUAAGCCCGUCAAGUGAAAACCCUCAGGAUCUUAACCCGUUAACCCCAGGACACUUUUUAAUUGGCUCACCCAUACUUACCCCUGCAGAACCCGACACAAGCAGUGAUAAUAUAACCCUGGCAAACAGAUGGCAAAGAUUAAAGAUACAACAUCACAACUUUUGUAAAAGAUGGAAAGAUGAAUAUCUUAAAGAGCUCCAUAAAAGAUAUAAGUGGAAAAACCCUACCCGAGAAGUUGAAAUAGGUGAUAUUGUAGUAAUUAGACAAGACAAUUUAGCACCCAAUGAAUGGGUACUUGGACGUGUGACUAAAACAUACCCUGGUUCUGAUGGUAGAAAUAGAGUAGUUGACUUACAAACUUCAACUGGAACUCUAACACGACCAAUUACUAAAAUUGUUGUUUUACCCGUUAAUUAGUCUAAUACUUUUACUCAAACCCUAACCCAAUAUAACAAUAUCCUUAAUUAUUUCAACUAACCCAUAUACUAACCCAAUAUAUUAUGAAUCGUUUAACCCUUCACCCUAACCCACUAACACAUUCAUUACACUUCAUUCAUUCACACAUAAUUUCUUUUAUACAGAAUAUGGCACCCAACAACAACAACAAUCGUAAAGGACGUUCCAACCGUUCCAGCCGCAAACCCAACCGCAAAAACGAUAAACGUCAACCAAAACGCCAUUUUGGUUGCGGUAUUUGUCAAGCCGAUCACAGCUUAACAAAUUGUCGAAAGUUCCAAAAGAUGAACUUGGCGGAGAAAUACAAAACCGCAGUUAAAUUGCACUACUGCGUCAAUUGUUUGGCGAGGAACCAUCUCAUUGGCGGUUGCAUGAGUAAGGCUCGUUGCCAACAAUGUGGUGGUAAACACCACUCCACACUGCAUGGUCCAAAUAGGAUUUUAAAGAAUUUGACCCAGGACCAAUCCCCUCCACCAACUCCGGCACCAAGAACUCCACCCAUACCAGCUCCAAGACGAUCAUUAGACAUCGUGAAAGUUACAACACCGGUAACAACGUCGAUGAUGAAAACGUUUGUUCCUACAGCAGUUGUGCAGGUAGGAAGUCGGCGGGCAAGGGCAAUACUAAAUCCUAGCUUGACUAAGUCUAGAAUAGCAGCCGUCUUUGUUAGUGAAAGUUCCCUAGCUCCCUUCAAAAUCGACAAAGAGGUGUUUGUGAAGGUGUUAAUUGCACCAAAUUAUUCCUCAAGCCUCCGAUACGAGGUUUGCAUGGAGGUGGUUAAGGAUCUGCCAAAAACCCCAUAUCCAAGCCCCAUGGACGAAACAAUUAAAAGUAAAUUGUGUCGCAUAUCGCUGGCUGACCCGGAGUUUUACUCCAACAAUCCAAUCUCCAUGGAAAUUGGUGGAGACCUUUACACAAGCAUCCUACAACCGAAUGUGAUUCACAUCGACGGGGGCUCACUUAUAGCCCAGGAUUCCACCCUUGGCUGGCUGGUCAUGGGAUCAUCUACCCAAUAAACCCGCACACAAUGAAGUUGCCAGGCCCGGGAGGAUGUUCACAUCAGUGAACACAUAACACUGUCCAUCCCUGACGUCAUUUAAUACCCACACAUAACUGCAGCUAACUUCAUCUACAUAUGAACGUCAGCUGCAGCUUUGGCCUUCAUCUUUAACUUACUUCUAUUCUAAUCCACCUGUGAGAAGAACAAAAAGUGUGUGCGCUACAGCGAACAAACAAACAAACAAACAAAACAACAAAC